CUACAAUGUUUCAGACACUGUACUGAACACUGAAAAUACAGCAGACAAAAGACAGAUGACAGUUCCUGUCCUCAUGGAAUUUUUAUUCUACUGUGGAGAGACUGAGAAUUUAAAAUAAAUAAGAAGAGCCUUGUAUUCUAGAAGACGGUAAGUGCUCUGGAGGAAAAUAAAGCAGAGAAUGAAGUUACAGAAAGAUGAAGAGAGAAAAUACAAUGUUCACAAAGAUUGACAGGGACACCUUACUGAGACUUGACCAGGAGCAAGAACAAGGCAGCAUGAAAGAAUAGCAAGGAAUUGAAUAAGUGAAGCAAAUUCCAGAAAUAAAUGACAUCUGAGAAAGAAUUCGCUGGCAGUUACUUUUUUCUGGUCAAGUUCUGCUGUGGAGACUGAAUGGUCCAGGAUGCCUUCACUUACUGAUAGUGGCGAGGCUGUUGGUCUCAAGU
rnacentral:lncRNA from 1 species